AUGGAAUCUUACUCACCUCUAUGCUCUCGUGACGUACAGGUUAAAAUUGCACCAAACCGUGAGCAAUCUUCCCAUUUGCUGAAAAUGGCCAAAUCACUGCGCUGUCUGCAUUUAUACCACUUGGAAAAAAAAGAGGAGUGCACCACCCAAAUGGAAACCAACACACCAGAGAAUCAGGAACCUUACCACAGUUAUGAAAAAAGAUCCUUGCUUUAUGAAAGAAAAAAGCAGCAUCAAAAUUAA
rnacentral:lncRNA from 1 species